GACGAACGCUGGCGGCGUGCUUAACACAUGCAAGUCGAACGGAAAGGCCCUGCUUUUGUGGGGUGCUCGAGUGGCGAACGGGUGAGUAACACGUGUGUAACCUGCCCUUGACUUUGGGAUAACUUCAGGAAACUGGGGCUAAUACCGGAUAGGAGCUCCUGCUGCAUGGUGGGGGUUGGAAAGUUUCGGCGGUUGGGGAUGGACUCGCGGCUUAUCAGCUUGUUGGUGGGGUAGUGGCUUACCAAGGCUUUGACGGGUAGCCGGCCUGAGAGUGUGACCGGCCACAUUGGGACGAAGAUACGGCCCAGACGCCGACGGGAGGAAUCAGUGGGGAAUAUAGCACAAUGGGCGGAAGCCUGAGGCAGCAACGCCGCGUGCGGGAUGACGGCCUUCGGGUUGUAAAGCGCUUUCGCCUGGGACGAAGCGGGAGUGACGGUAAUGGGUAAAGAAGCACCGGCUAACUACGUG
rnacentral:rRNA from 1 species